CCACUGACCUAUUCAGUGGAUGCCAGCCAGUGCCCCAGCGUCCGGCAGAGGCGUCAUGGCGCCUGGCCCGUUGUACAUAUCGCAAAACAAUGGCUACUGCCAUUUCUGUUUCAACGCACACCCUGUUCCUUGCAAUUCCUAGCCCAGCCCUGAUACAGGGACGUUCAGAGGUGAGAGCUUUAAACAGACCUGGCUUUUGUUCUCCCCCAAGUGAAUGAAGGCUCACCUCCCUUUCUUGCUUCCCUUUGCUCACUAGAAGGUCACCGAAGCGCUGGAGAAGAGCCAGAAACUUUACCCCUGGGUUACCUGGGGUGGGAGCUGUUUUCCCCAUGAACAUUCUUCACAGAUAUUCAACACAGCCACGUAAGAGCCAAAUGCCUGAAGGCCCCAUCACCGAGCAGACCUGCAGUGGGGCCACGCCAGCGUGUAGCCUGCACAGCACACACAGGACCUCGUUGGAGAUGCUCACUGUGCUGGCAGAGGACAGGCUCAGUCCCUCUCCUGUGCCCACUGCUUGGACCUCAUCAUUACAAAGUGCUCCCGGGGCAUCCAGCAGUGAAGCGGCCUCACAGCAGCAAGGGCUUCAGCUCAGCCACCCCAGUCCUGCUUCCUGCACCCCAAUAUACGCAAAGCCAGAAAUGUCAAGGAUGCCAGGCCCAGCUGCCCAGAGAAGGGAGGACAUCUCUUCCCCCAGGGAGAACCUGCUGCAGUCCGAAUGUGCUAAGGCCGGACAGCUGGUCACCCAGGGAGGCCUGGAUGCCCUGCUUGAGCUGUCACAGCGUGCUGGGCCCCCAGUGUGACAACUGAAAGCAGCCAUCUCUUUCCCAUGGCCAUGGCAUGGUGGAACCAGGGUGCCAGCAGCACCUGGCUACUCAACUGGGAUGUCCUCUCCUUCCUCCCCUGUCAUCACUGCAAGAUGCUCCUGCAGGAGAGAGCACAAAGCCUGCCAGGGAGGGAGGUGACUGCAUAAAAGCACUGGCUCCAGAGAUGGCACCUGAGUGAUUGGCCCCACAAACACAAACCCAGAUGGGAUUUGCUCUAGUGCUGUACCAAAUGAGAGUCUACUGUCUGGAUGUACCGCAGUUUAUCCAUUUGCCUACUGAACAACAUCUUAGUUGCUUCCCAGUUUUGGCAAUUAUGAAUAAAGCCACUAUAAACAUUGGUGUGCAGGCUUUAGUAUGGGGGUUAAGAUUUCAACUUAUUUGGAUAAAUACCUAGGCACGCGGUUGCUGGAUGGCGCGGGGAGUCUACAUUUAGUUUUGCAGAUAGUAUCUUAAACUUAAUUUUACUCUGGAUGGUUUGCAUCUUAAUGUGCUUGCUUUUUCCUGGGGGUUUGCAACCUUUCAAUCA
rnacentral:lncRNA from 1 species